GUGCACCCAGUCGCGAAAACUCCACAAUGUGGGAAACCACGAUGGGGGAACUCCCAGUGCGCACACUUUGUGUGCGCUGUUCUCCUGCCUAAAAAGCAGGAGAAGUAAGGGCCGGGUAAGACGGGUGCCAGCCGCCGCGGUAAUACCCGCGGCCCGAGUAGUGACCACUAUUAUUGGGCCUAAAGCGUCCGUAGCCGGUUUUGUAAGUUUCUGGGUAAAUCCCACAGCUUAACUGCGGGAAUUCCAGAAAUACUGCAGAGCUAGGGGCCGGGAGACGCAGAAGGUACUCCUGGGGUAGGGGUGAAAUCCUAUAAUCCUAGGGGGACCACCAGUGGCGAAGGCGUUCUGCGAGAACGGGCUCGACGGUGAGGGACGAAAGCCAGGGGCGCAAACGGGAUUAGAUACCCCUGUAGUCC
rnacentral:rRNA from 1 species